rnacentral:lncRNA from 1 species
AGUAAUAUGCCCAGAUGGAGAAACCCAAUACGAGAUUGUGGAUGGAUGAUGACAUUGGUAUCCUUAACCUAAUUUUAGUGCUAGUAUUAUUUUUAGAUUUAUUUUAAAAUUUCAGACCAUGGAUGAAUGGUUUGGGGGCAUUGGUAUCCUUAACCCGUCAGGAUUAAGUUUUGGUGUUUAUAUUAUUUGAAUUUAUUUUAGAAUUUCAGAC